rnacentral:rRNA from 1 species
CCCCGGUAAACGGCGGCCGUAACUAUAACGGUCCUAAGGUAGCGAAAUUCCUUGUCGGGUAAGUUCCGACCUGCACGAAUGGCGUAAUGAUGGCCAGGCUGUCUCCACCCGAGACUCAGUGAAAUUGAACUCGCUGUGAAGAUGCAGUGUACCCGCGGCAAGACGGAAAGACCCCGUGAACCUUUACUAUAGCUUGACACUGAACAUUGAGCCUUGAUGUGUAGGAUAGGUGGGAGGCUUUGAAGUGUGGACGCCAGUCUGCAUGGAGCCGACCUUGAAAUACCACCCUUUAAUGUUUGAUGUUCUAACGUGGACCCGUAAUCCGGGUUGCGGACAGUGUCUGGUGGGUAGUUUGACUGGGGCGGUCUCCUCCUAAAGAGUAACGGAGGAGCACGAAGGUUGGCUAAUCCUGGUCGGACAUCAGGAGGUUAGUGCAAUGGCAUAAGCCAGCUUGACUGCGAGCGUGACGGCGCGAGCAGGUGCGAAAGCAGGUCAUAGUGAUCCGGUGGUUCUGAAUGGAAGGGCCAUCGCUCAACGGAUAAAAGGUACUCCGGGGAUAACAGGCUGAUACCGCCCAAGAGUUCAUAUCGACGGCGGUGUUUGGCACCUCGAUGUCGGCUCAUCA